UACCAGCACCCCGAGUGGUCGGGACGUUUAUUGGGCCUAAAGCCUCCGUAGCCGGUUCUGCAAGUCUUCCGUUAAAUCCACCUGCUUAACAGAUGGGCCGCGGAAGAUACUAUAGAGCUAGGAGGCGGGAGAGGCAAGCGGUACUCGAUGGGUAGGGGUAAAAUCCGUUGAUCCAUUGAAGACCACCAGUGGCGAAGGCGGCUUGCCAGAACGCGCUCGGCGGUGAGGGAUGAAAGCUGGGGGAGCAAACCGG
rnacentral:rRNA from 1 species